GCGCUGCCCCAUGAACAGUCUCC
rnacentral:miRNA from 1 species